rnacentral:rRNA from 1 species
CAGUAGCCGCGGUAAUACGAAGGGGGCUAGCGUUGUUCGGAAUAACUGGGCGUAAAGGGCGCGUAGGCGGAUCUUUAAGUCAGGGGUGAAAUCCCAAGGCUCAACCUUGGAACUGCCUUUGAUACUGGAGAUCUUGAGUCCGGGAGAGGUGAGUGGAACUGCGAGUGUAGAGGUGAAAUUCGUAGAUAUUCGCAAGAACACCAGUGGCGAAGGCGGCUCACUGGCCCGGUACUGACGCUGAGGCGCGAAAGCGUGGGGAGCAAACAGGAUUAGAUACCCCUGUAGUCCCUGUCUCUUAUAC